UACGUAGGGUGCAAGCGUUAAUCGGAAUUACUGGGCGUAAAGCGUGCGCAGGCGGUGAUGUAAGACAGAUGUGAAAUCCCCGGGCUCAACCUGGGAAUGGCCGUCGAAACUGGCGAACUGGAGUGUGGCAGAGGGGGGUGGAAUUCCGCGUGUAGCAGUGAAAUGCGUAGAGAUGCGGAGGAACACCGAUGGCGAAGGCAGCCCCCCUGGGCUGACACUGACGCUCAGGCACGAAAGCGUGGGGAGCAAACAGG
rnacentral:rRNA from 1 species